GCGGUGGUUGGUCAGCCCGUCAAGAUCGCUCAGAUGCCGGCUUGGCCAGAUGCGGCCGGUCGAUAUAGCCGAUCUCGAUGCG
rnacentral:tRNA from 1 species